UACGUAGGGUGCGAGCGUUAAUCGGAAUUACUGGGCGUAAAGCGUGCGUAGGCGGUUGGCAAAGUCAGCUGUGAAAGCCCCGGGCUCAACCUGGGAAUGGCGGUUGAAACUAGUCGACUCGAAUCUGGCAGAGGGGGGUGGAAUUCCACGUGUAGCAGUGAAAUGCGUAGAGAUGUGGAGGAACACCGAUGGCGAAGGCAGCCCCCUGGGCUGAGAUUGACGCUCAGGCACGAAAGCGUGGGUAGCAAA
rnacentral:rRNA from 1 species